rnacentral:rRNA from 1 species
UACGGAGGGGGCUAGCGUUGCUCGGAAUCACUGGGCGUAAAGGGCGCGUAGGCGGCGUUUUAAGUCGGGGGUGAAAGCCUGUGGCUCAACCACAGAAUGGCCUUCGAUACUGGGACGCUUGAGUAUGGUAGAGGUUGGUGGAACUGCGAGUGUAGAGGUGAAAUUCGUAGAUAUUCGCAAGAACACCGGCGGCGAAGGCGGCCAACUGGACCAUUACUGACGCUGAGACGCGAAAGCGUGGGGAGCAAACAGG